ensembl:lncRNA
GGAGAGGAGAGGAGAGGAGAGGAGAGGAGAGGAGAGGAGAGGAGAGGAGAGGAGAGGAGAGGAGAGGAGAGGAGAGGAGAGGAGAGGAGAGGAGAGGAGAGGAGAGGAAAAUACGUGUAGGAGCAGCAUUGUUUUUGUGGAAGAACUCAUUUGAAACUAUGCUAUCUCUGAGCUGCACAAAGAGAAGAGUCUUCUGGCUUUAAUCAGGUUUAAAUUGUUGUUUAUAUUUCAGUAGCCACUGUCCCACUAAGGUAAAUCACAACGUACCCAGCCGCCUUUGGAAUGCAAUUCGGGGCCUGCGGAUUUUCCAGAUAGUGGCAACUCAGAGCAGCCUGCCGCGUUGUGGCACGACCCCGAAAAUGCCAAUUUGGGGUGUUUUGUUUCGGCUUUCUUUCUUUUCUUUUUCUGUAAAUAAUUAGGCAGUCUGAUCAAACCUACGUGCGUUAAGAUGACAGGUGAUACCUUCAACAACACAUUUAAUAGUCUAAGAACUGGAGCGCACAAGAUGUCCCCCUGAGAGGAGAUCUGUGUCCCCGGGUCUGAACAGCUUCAGGGAUUCCCGAGACAAGAGCAGAAGCGGGCGCGUCUAUAGGCCGUGCUCCCACAGUGAGGCAUCGCAAAUCCAUCGGAACAGUGCUCGCUUUUCCCAGCCCACAUCCCCUGGUACCUCCGCGCGGUGUUUCUAUGUUUCCCACCGCAGCGGAGCGCUGCCCCCCGGCCCCGCUCCGUGUCAGUCCCAGCGCCGCACCUCUCGGCGGGAGGUGGGAGAAGGGAAGGACAGACGGGUUGCUUUUUUUCUUCUUUUGAAAGAAAGGAGAGAUGAAAGGAAGAGCGACAGAUGUCAGCGAUCAGCAUAUUGAAGGGAAAAAAAAAGAAGAAAGAAAAAAGCAAAUAUACCUUUACAUAUGUAUCUGUAUUAAAAAUAGCGCGCGGCACAGCCAACAGGAGAGGCGGGAGGAAGGGAGGAAGGGAGCCCGGCCCUCCGACGCCCCCACGGUCCCAUCUCGGGGCCUCCUUGCGCUGCUGCCGCUGAGGUGGCCGCCGGAUUUCUUCCUUCCGCCAAACGCGAUCCCCGGGAACACGCAGAAAUCGCGCCGGGGUCUGCGUCCGCUGCUGCCAGCGGGAGGAUUUGCAAAUUUCUUUUUCUUUUUUUUUUUUCUUAAUGCCCUUAUUUCUUCGAUGUAUGUAAAUGCAGAGGACGUACAGUGACGUCAAAGGACGUGACCCUGCCGCUAAACCUGAACGUGAACGGGAAUGGCGGCGCGGGGGGCGACGGUGAGGCCGGGAAGGGGUAGCGGUAGGGCCCCUUCCGCGGCCGCGCAGCUCUGCGCCUCCGCGCAUCCCACGCACAUGGGCAGAGCAUCCCGGCCCCGCGUGGCCCAGCACAAAGCCCACCCCGCUCCGCCGAGCCGCCCGCUCUCCCCUCCUUAUUUAUUUAUUUAUUUAUUUAUUUAUUUAUUUAUUUAUUUAUUUAUUUUCCCGUUAAUUGAAUGUUAUUUGCUGUUUCGGUUCAUCAGAUGACGAGCGGGAAAUAGGAAACUCAGAACCGUGGGGGGAAAAAAAAAAUAAAUAAAUGUUUAUCGUCCUCUCCAAAAAUGUUACGCGGUGGAUCGCGGUCCUGCAUCCCUACGGGGGCAGCCGUGCCUCGGCGGCACCUGCGGGGCUGAAAGGGGCUGCAAAGGACUGGAAGCGAGCACGGGGCGCGGUGGGGGGUAAAGGCGGCUUCCCACCUCUCCCCCCGUCCAUUUUCCUUUACCCAGGCCCUCCCUUCUCUCGCGGCACUGUUGUUUGCGGGGAUGUGAGAAGAAGUUUCAGCUGCGACGCUGAAUGCCAUCGGCGUCCUGAAAGUGGAGGGUGUUCUCUAUUAGGAUCCAAGCCUUCCUACCUCUUCCCCAGGCGUCUAUUUGCUGUGAUGCCUUCAGAGCAUCUCCCUUCGCCUCGGCACGGUCUCUCCAAUUUGCAUACACCGCACGCUGCCUCCCCUACCCGAGAGUCGGAAUCUGCGCGCAUCCCCAGAGGCCGAGGAUCGCUCUGCGCACCCCCGGGCCCCUCUCGGUCCUCACAGUGCGCCCUUUGUCCCACCGCACCGCUGGGGCAGCGCUGCCGGGGGUUCCCGAGUGCGUGGGCGGAGGGAGGAGGCAGUCCCCUACUGGCAUGCAUACACACAUGUAUACAUACGUACACGCGUGUGUGCGUGGCUGCUACAGACACACACACACCUCCUGCCGUCAGCCCGCCCCCGGCCCCCCGCCACCUGCCCACGCCACCGCGGACGUCGAGCACGGCCGCCAGCGGCCCGCCCCGAAAAGGGCAGCGGGAAGCCGUCCUGACGCCCCUCACCUCCUCCCGUCCUCCGCGCCGCUCCGCUCACCCAAACUUCCGCCCUCACGCCCUAAAACGCGGCGUUUCCACGCAGAUUACGCGCCGCUGGUUCGCGGGAGGCAGCGGAGGAGCCGGGGGAGCUAUGCCGGCGGGAGGGCACGCAGCGGUGUGCGUGGCAGCCUGACUGGGGAGAGACGCUCUCUCUCUCUCUCUCUCUUUUCUUUUUUUUCCCCCUUCUUUUUUCUCUUUAAACAUUAUGAUUUUUUUAUUAUAAUUAUUUUAAUUUUAUUUAUUUGUUUGUUUAUUUUGCAAUUGUCGACCAGUUGUUUGGUUCAGAGGAAAGUUACCCAGAAGGGGAAUGCCACCCAAGGACAGCACUCGGCAGGAGCCGCUCUUCAGAUCACGGCUGGAGAAAGACACCUACAAAAAACUCCACCGCUCGCUGCGUUUGUAAGUUUCCAAAGAAAUGAGAGCCUCUUUUCCUUUUCUCCUGGAAGACGCAAGCCACGGCUCUUCUUUAGACUUUUCUAAUUUGUUCCGUCCGUCAGAGCGGCACUAAGAGAGGUUUGGUGCAAAUUCAUUAUCUCUGGCAACGCGCAGCGCGGAGCAGGAACUGAAAAAGACCGUGGCAAUGCGUGAACAAUGGGGCUUCAGUUCGUCGGCAACAAAAGCAGUGGGGAAAUCGGUUGGAUUUCAGAGCACGUCCUCCUCGGCAGAGAGGGCUGGACUAGACCUUGGCCAACCCCCCAAAAAACUUGCGGAGCGUCUCAUGCAGGACUCCACUUUCUACUCCGGGGCUUAAGAGGCAAUAUGGAAAAAAAAAAGGGGGGGGGGGGAGGGUGGGGGUGGGGGGAGGAAAGGGGGAACAGAAAACUUUCUGCGAUCGUCUUCCGUUUUUCUGGAUAGAGGAUGCCGAGCUACUUUAAAGCCAUUUGGCGCAAGAACUGCACCAUGGAGCUACACGGAACUUUUAAAGCAGGAUGAGGAUGGAGGAACGACGUGAAUUCGUGGAGAUUUGCCCGUGGGGAUCUUUGUGCUUGCCUUACCGCCGGGACCGGGGGGGGAGAACCUCCCCCACCCUCGGAGCCGCAGCGAUAUUUAAACAACGCAGACAGAGCACAGGGAAUGACAUCCAAGGCACGACACGAGCAGUGCGUGGAUAGUGACUUACGUUCCUGAAGAGAAUGAACGAGAUAUCAGUUUGGAAUUAUUCCUGGAAUUAGAACAGCAUGAGGUCUCCUCUAGCAAUCUAAGGUAAUACCACUGAAAUGCAAGAAAUCCGAAGUGAUGUAUGUACAGCUGACCAUGUACUGACAGUGUCAAGCCCAGCAAAUGUUCUGUACGCCUGCAGCCAAAAGAAGAAGGAGAAUGGGUAACCCCUGGGACAUUGCUCCACAAGGCAUGGCAAGCACACAUUUCUCUCCAAGGAGUAUUUAUUCAGCAGAACAAAAGCUUCUCUAGGAGGUGGACAGGUUUACUAAUAGUGGUAGCCCAGAAUUCUGCUACCGUGAAGCACCUUCUUGAAGUCAUUGCGAAGGAUAGGUAGUUGUUUACCCACCAACACGGCAUAACGUCAAAUACAGCAGCACUGAAAUCCCAUUUUCCUUUAACCUGGAGUGCACGAGAGGAGGUUUCAGUUGCAAUCAUUUUGCAUCAGAAUGAGCCUGAUCUAAAACGAGGGCAGAAGCAGCCCUACUGGGACUUGUACACAUAAAUGAAGUAUUUUAGCCAUACUCCAUAAAAGCAUGCAAGAUGGAUUUCUGAGAAACACAUCUACAGUCCUGAAUGUUUUGGAAACAAAAUAUGGUCCCAAGUCCUGCAGUCAAUCCGACCUGGUCUUGAACACCUCCUGGGACAGUGUAUCCACAACCUCUCUGGCCAGCCUGUUCCAGCACCUCACCACUCUCUUGGUAAAGAACUUCCCCCUGAUCAGAAGACUCUAAUUGAAAUUCCUCUUCAAUGCAUUAACCAUAUGUUAACCAGUGUGGGUCUGAGUGCUCAAAUGGAUUCUUCCAACAGGACCAAGUCUGCUGAGCUGAUAACUAAACCAAAUGGAAGAUGGAAAAGCUUCAUAAAACCCUUGAGUUGCAUGUACAACCUCUUUAUUUGCUUACUCAUUUAGUUUGGUGGGAUUUACAAGUAAAUUUUAUUAGGGUAAUUCCAUUACCUAUUGCACUACAUAUUGAAAAUGCAGCUCUUCUGUUGCCUUUCUGUUCAUUUACUUGUUUGAUUGUUCUUGAUACUGUACACUCUAAUGGACAAAUAAGUUAUGGAUGUUUUAUUCUAAAGGUUCGUAAACUUUAGAAACAGGCCAAUUUCCAUCCAGUCAUAAGUUUGUAAUGGAAACCAGCAAGAUAAGAAUAUGAUUAGUAUUUCAGAUGUGAUUUUAUAAUAUUCGUAAAUUAAAUUUUAAUAUUAAAAAUCCAUUGGUUGUUAUGAACUGCAAUUAUGUAUGUUUCAUCCUUUAAAGUUUUCUUUGAAAAUUACCUACAUAUUUUUCUUGAAAGUACUAUUUUUUUCAAAUUUCUUACUACAUCCCUGUGUUUUUAUAUCCAAAAAUAACUGUAGAUUUAUACUAAAGAAAAUCUAAAAUUCAAUGACAAAUCUUAAAGACUUUUCAACAUAAUUAUAAUUUUUAUGGUCCUGUUAAUUUUAUAAAUGCAGUGUUUAGCUUUUUGAAAUUGAGUAGUUCCUUUGCAGAGGAAAUCUUUACUUAAAUUUCAUGAGAUAAUGAUGUUUAAACUGAGCUGUUUGUGUGUGAUGCCAUGCUCUGCUGGCUGUUCAGAACACUUCUAUCUCCAACCUUGGUGAUACUAUGGACUCUUUCCUAUUCUAGGAAUCUGCUUUAGCAGGGGGUUGGAUGAAACGAUCUCUUUCCAGCCCCUAUGAUUCUAUGAUUCUGUGUAUGAUUCCACCGAUACAACUUGACUUGUGAUAUAAUUACCCUGACCUUAAACUCUGGAGCUGAUAGCAGCACUGUGCUGAGUGAGGAAGAAAGGCUGCUAAGGCUUGCUUCCUCUUGAGAAGAGAGAAAAGCAAGGACCAAUGUGUGCUUCCAACUCACAGUACCUCUUCACAGCAUCUAUGGAUAAUUCUAAGAAUAAGCAAAUCUGACUUGGAGUUUAUAAUGGGCAUUGAGUAAUAGAAAAAGGCAAAGACUGCAAAAUUUGGAUCAUAAGUGUUUACAUUCAGUAAGAGUAUUUGAGGGUAAAAUUUGUCUUCUGUAUUUAGCAGAAAGCCAUAAGACGGGUGUGUAUGGGUACACACUCCCCAUCAUCCCACUCAGAGAGCAGUACCACCUGCAUCAAGGAAUAUGUGUUUAUCCAUGGAAUUUGUGAGAUAGCCCCAUGGUACUCAUUCUGGCAUUUCAUUUUUUCACUAGUGUUUCAAUCUCUAUGACAGUGGAUCAAAGAGUAAAUAAAAUUUCAUUGUUCUGAAAGGUCACUGUGAAACUAAACACAGCAGUUCAAAGUGGAAAACAGAACGAAUGCCAAGGCAAGGUUUCAUGAGGUACUAAUGCUCCAAGACAUGCUUCUUGAAUGACAUCUGUGGUAUUGUCUAAUUGCUUAAAAUCAUGCAGAAGUGGACCCAUCACAGCACUGGUGUUGCCUUUCACAGUUGGAUGCUGCUCAGGUGUUAUCACAAUACUGGAAACUACAAACAUAUCUGAUACUAAACUGUUCAGUAUUAUGGAAAUACUCGUGUGCAUUUUUCAUAUUUAAAUGCUCAUAAAAGCAUUACUUAAUUCUGCCUAAAUGUGAAAAGGUAAAUCUUCUACCUUGCUAGUCUAAAUAUUAAAAUGUUAAGAUUUGCUGAUUCGUAUUAGAACUGCAGGGCUUCACCAGUCUUAAGAUUUAUGACCAAGCUCUGUUCAAACUGUAUAGGACUGCAAUUUAACCACGUCUCACAUCAGUUAAAUGUUUAUAUUUUUGUCUUCUGACAGCAACAAUAGAACUGCAUACGUGGAAGCUGUCACCAUUCUGCUUAUUGAUUUUAUUCAAAAGACGUGUACUAGCUCUGCAUUUCAACAUGUGGUUUCCAAUGACUACCGCUCAAGGACAAUGUUAAUCUCAGCUUCUAAGUCUCAUCGUGUUCAACACAGGAUUCCAUUCUUGGCCCAGUUAUUUUUGCAAGAGCAAAAAGUCACAACUAUCUAACCACAGCUGGGACUGAUUGUAUCCCUGGAGGGAGUAUUGUUCCGUGUCAAGUUUUUUUUGCUGUCAGUGGGUAUCAAUCAAACUAAACAUCUUCAAUAGCAGUGUGGAAAAAAAAGUAAACACUGAUUCUUUUCUUUUUAUUGAAUAUCAACGAUUAGUAAACUGGCCAGGAGUUUGCGUCUUCUUAGUUCCCCAGGGUUGUAGUUGCUUCAAACAGCUGUCUGCUACCUCAAGGUUCACCAAUUUGGCUUAAAAACAACUUGACCUCCCUCCCCAGCCUGCUGUUCAGCUACGGGAGCUAUAAUUUUGCCCUUUUAACAUAACAACUAGCCAUUAUGACUGAUUUCAUCCUUAUAAAGACUGAAAAGAAACAAACAAAUGGAAUGUUUUUGCCUUAGAGUACUUAGUAUAUCUGUUGUUUUUCUUUUUUUCCCCUGGGCAGUGAAUCAACCCCUUCCAUUGUUUCCUACUUCACUACUGCUGUAUUUACAGAAUACAUUCUAACUAGCUUUGAUGCAACUUGCAUUGGCUUUGUGCCUUAAAAAACAUGAGAACAGCCUCCGGUGAGUCAUAUCCAAGGUCAGACUGGCCUUCUAUCUCAUUUCCAAUCAAGCACAAUAGCAAAUAUUUAGGAAAUAAUACGAGAAUAGGGCAAGCAUUAAUUUUUAAUCAACCUCUUGCGGUUAAGAAAAUUGUUAAGCAAAAGAUUGCAUCUUUAUAUAAUAACUUCAGCUGGAUAUUUUUUUCCAACAAAUGUCCAUAAUUUAAGAGUUUAUAGCAACACUUCACAAUAUAGAGUUUCACAGCAAAACCUCACACCAUCAGAAAUAAUGUCCAUCAGUCAAUGCUGAGUCUGACUCCUAGGAACCUAUCACAGUGCAGUCUUACUGACGUGCGGAAUCAAACUCUAUAACCCGGUUAGGUUAUAAAGCAGGUAUGUUUAUUCGGCCGGCCGGGUGCAAGGGGGAUCACUCCAGCAAACUUGCACACCAGCAAGCAAAAAUGCUACAAAUUUGUAAGCCAAGUCCAUAUAUAUUCAGCAGAAUUCUUGGAACCCAUCUACAUAUUCAUUAUCCUUCUGGAAAUUUGUUUACAUACUGCCCCUCCCCUGGCACAUGCGUUGUCCAUAGUUGGGGUCUCCCUCUGGUGGUUGUGGGGAUGAAAUCAGAAGUCUUCCUCGCAAAGGCUCGACGUCUUCCUUGGUCUGACCUUCUUGUGAUGCAUUCAAACCGGUCAAAGCCAUUCAUUUUGUAUUGUUCCUUUCUUGGUGUUUGCACAGCUGACCAUGAAAUGUUGAGACAUUGUUCUCCUUCCCUAGUUUCUAAAGCUAGCUUAUUUAACCCCUAUAUGUUCAAACCCUAGACCCACCUGAGCACCUGAGCUCCUGAUCUCAUCACAAGUUUUCUUGGUUUCCUCUUUCUCAUUCUGGGGUUUCCUGAUUUGCAGUUCUGCAGGAAGAGCCAGUUCUUGUGCCUUUGGGCAUCUAUUUAUUGAGAUAACUCGACUGAAGCUCUGAUUAGGAUUUAAAUAAUGUUGGACUCUGUAUUCCCCCUUGCAAAAUGUUUUGAGUUUGAUGAGACAACAUCUUAGAAUACUUCUUCCUUUCCACCAAAAGCCCUGAAAGAAAAAGAAAAUUUGGAAAAAUUAACAGCAGUUUUUAAAGUUAUGGUUUCCUUCCUGUAGGGUAGACAUCAAGUGUUUCACAACCAAAAUGACAGCAUUUUGCAGUCAGUUUGCACUUUGCAAAUCACUUUGGAAGCCAUAGGACAAUAAAUCAAUAUCACCCAAGUGAGGGCAGUGCCGUUUAGAACAGGAAUACCCUGACCAAGUUUAAAGUUCCCACCUCAGAGGUUGGGAUCAAAGAGCUCAACAGAUUAAUUUAUCCAACAACAACAACAAAAAUUAGCUGAUAUUUAACUCCUUCAGGCUGUGAAAGGACAUCUACAAGCAUCAGUCACUGGUGUCCUACCAGCUCACACAAUAGAAACUGUGUGAAGGCUCAUAAGCAGCCAUACCCUUGAGCUGGGAGCUUCCAUACGUAACUUUUGCAGAUGAUCAUGGAAGUUCCCUAGUCUGAGGGCUUACUUAAAUGCCAAGUAAGAAGAGGAAGAAAAAAAAGAUCACUGUUGUUAUAUGGUUGAUUCUAUAUCCUUAGCAGAAAUAAGCAGGCAAAUUCCCAGCCAGUAUGUCUUUUCUUCAUUGAUUCAAAUAAUGUAUUCUGCACAUAAACAACAUUAUCAUUAUUCAUUCCAGUUGAAUGGGCUGCUUUCUUGCCUACAUAAACUACUUCAAGAGGAUAAAAGCAGCUCAGUUGCAUACAACAUCCUUUGGAAGGCAAAAUGGAGGGAAUUUCAGAAACCGUUCACAGACAAAAUUGAAGAAGACCACUUAGGAGCUGUGUUUCUGUGUAGUUUGGGGUUGAACAUGCAGAUUUUCAAGACCUUCAAGUUUGGGCCUGACUUUGACAGCCUGUGCGUGCCAGUUCCCACUGUCAGCAAUGCCAGGCGAAUCCUCAAGCUGUUGAGGUGAGAAUGCUGCUAGAAGUGAGAACCACAAGUUCACCACCGAGAUGUGCUCCUAUCAUUACCACUUUAGGGAGAAUUGUUAACUUCCUGGUUUUGCAUUUGCACCUCCAGAACUCGGAGCCCAAAUUGUUGGGAUUACUUAUCCUCAUGAUGCUACAAAAACACCUUGACAGAUUGCUUAAAGUAUAUGUUUCACUUUAAGAUGGUUAAUGUUAGCAGAAACCAAUCUUAUUGUUAGCUAUUUGGAAGCUGUUAGGCAGCUCUGUAAGAUCAUCUGUGUAUGCAAAGAACAAAUGAAAAAAAGAGUAGGGCAAUAUAAUUUGUAUUCUGGCAAAGGCAUGCUGGAGACUUGAAGAACCCACUUAAAGUUUUCAGCAUCCUGCAGUAUGCAUGUGUUGGAAAGUUGCACAAAAUAUACCUCUUCAAAAUCUGCAUGUAAUACAAGUUUUCCUUUACAGGCAUUGGUUACCACUCCCACACUUGGGCAAAAGCCUAUGUCUGAAGCUAAAGGUGCUCCCAUUAAUUUUAAUAGGCAUAAACAUAAAAACACUGAUGUCCAGAAAGGUUAAAAGGUGCAUAUUGCUGUUAAACACCUUCGUGCUUCACACUGCCAAUGUUUAUGGAGGAACAAGGGAAACUGGUAAAACAUUGUUAAGUAUUUUCUUCCACCAACAAGUACUUUCCUUAUGAAAUAUUACAAUAUUUUCAUUUUAAACAAACCAUAUUGCAAAUACUUCUCAAUAUAUCAAAACCAUGUGUUAAAUUGGGAAAUAAUUACAUUGUGCAUCUCUACAAGAAACAGACAUUCCUCUUAACACUCUGUUCAUUCUAGUGACAUCCAAAAAUAUAUUGUCCUUUAUCUUAUCCUCUGACACUCUUUCAGAUGACUGAAUCAGGUAAAUGCCCCAAGUCUUUCUCUCCUAAAAAUGGGAAAUCAAAUAUUAAACAUCUGUGGGGAAAAAAACAACUAAAAAAACCCUAGUCUUGCACAUCAACAUACAAUCCCUUAUUAUAUAGACUUCAAUUCUGAAGCAGUUUGAAGACCUUUCCAAAGACUUACAUUCUGGGCAGUAUCCCAUGGACUAGAGUGUUAGAAGAUAAGGGUGCUGAGGUGAGAUAAGGGAACGUGAACUCCACUUCUUCAGAGCUCAAGAUCUGUGCAAUAAGAAAUAAGGGAAAGGUGGCAAGAGGCCUGUGUGGAUGAGCAAAUAACUCCUGGAUAAACUAAAUAGAAAGAAGAAGGUCCAUGAAAUGUGGGAAAAGGGCCUGUCCAUCUGGGAAGAAUACAGGAAUGUAAGGAAGUAACGAGGAAGGCUAAGGCCCUCUUAGAAUUAAACUUUGUGAAGGAGGUAAAGAAAAAGAAGAAGUAAAAAAGUAAAAAGGAAGUAAAAGGAAGACUUGGAAAAAUGUGAGUUUCCUACACAUGCGAUGGGUGCCUCAGUAGCAGGAGAGGCUGAGAAGGUGGAGAUUCUGAAUGCCUUCUGAAGGCCUGUAGCUACUAGCACUCCCCAGAAGUCAGUGCUGAGUUCAGUCUUGUUCAACAGCUUCGUCAAUGACCUGGAUAAAGGAAUAGGGCCCACCCUCAGCAAGUUUGCUGAUGAUACAAAGCUGGGAGGGGUGGCUGACACACCAGAAAGCUCUGUUGCCAUUCUGUGAGGCUUUAGUUGAGACCUAGGCAGGGAGGAACCCGAUGAGGUUCAACAAAAUAAGUGUAGAGUCUGAAACCUAGGGAAGAAAAAACACAUGCACUAGUACAAGUUGUGGGAUGACCUGCUGGAGAAGAGCUGUUCAGAGAAGGACCUGGGUGUUCUAGUGGACAGCAGGUUGGCCAUGAGCCAGCAAAAGUGCCCUUGUGCCCAAGAAGGCCAAUGGUAUCCUGGGUGCACUAAAAAAAGCAUGGACAGAAGGUCAAGGGAGGUGAUGCUCCCCAUGUACUCUGCCCUGAUGAGAACACAUUUAGGAUACCAAGUCCUGUUCUGGGCUCUCCAGUUCAAAAAAGACAGGGAUCUCUUAGAUGGAGUCCAGCGGAGGGAUACAAAAAUGAUUAAGGGCCUGGAGAAACUCCCGUAUGAGGAAAGGCUGAGUAACCUGGGUCUGUCCAGCUCGUGGGAAAGAAAACUGAGAAGAGAUCUGAUCAAUGUUUAUAAAUAUCUAAAGGGAGGUGGAAGACAAAUGGAUGAGGCCAGGCUCUUCUUGGUGGUGCAUAGUGGUAGGACAAGGAAUAUGGCCCAAAACUAAAACAUAGGAAGUACCACACAAACAUGUGGAAGAACUUCUUUCUGUUAAGGGUGAUGGAACAUUUAAGCAAAUUGCCCAGAGAUUGUGGCAUUUCAUUCUAUGAAGAUAUUCAAGAGCCAUCUGGAUGCCUACCUGUGAGACCUAUUCUAGGGAACAUAGUUUAGCAGGGAGUUGGACUCAAUGAUCUCUUGAGGUACCUUCCAACCCCUGCGAUUCUGUGAUUCUGUGAUCCAGAUCUUUUUACAAGUGCUAUUUAUACAAUAGAAAAGAAAAGUAGCUGAGCCAUUACCUUGAUCAUCACUGAUCUUUAAAGAACAGGAUUAUUUAAGUAUCUCAUCCAUGGAAGAGGUAUCCCUUUUGCAAUCAUUUAUUUUUUCUACAUAGGACUUAACAAAGAAUUUAUUCUUUAACAAGUUAUUUAGACAGUGCUCACCAGUAAGGGAUUACCUUAAUGACUUCAAAGGAGGUAGCUCAAACAGAGGUGAGGAACAAAAUUCUGUCUGGUUUGUCUAUACUAAUUUUUUAAAUGUAAGGAGCGAGACAACAUGAUUUUCACAAAAUGACAGAAUUACUUCUUUUAUCAUUUUUGUAAAUGAUUGCCUGAAUGAUGCUGCGAAUGUCCAUACAUAGAAGACCUAUUCCAUGUUGAGGUUUCUUUCUUUUUUUUUUUUUUUCCAAUAUACAGCAUUAAAGUCUUUAAGGAACAAAACUGUUCAUUCGCACACAGAGCCCUGUAUGAAACUGUCAUCAGUCAUUAUGGGAAUAUUCACUGUUAGUUGUAGGGUUUAUCUCUAAAAUAAUCAUCUGAGGUGUUUUUUUGCUUAUUUGUUUUGUUUUUUUUUACCCUACUGGAAGCAAACAAAUGGGAAACACUUUUGCCUCUACAUGCUGCAUCUCCCAUUCCACUGUGGAGAGUAGCUGAAGGAACCAUGAACACAUAAAGCAGCUGUGCCUUAUUAGCAAUCUGUCAGAUGAUAGCGAGCAAUAUAUUACCAGUCGCUGUGAACAAAUGCCCACAACCUUGAUUCUUCACAGCAGAGUCUUGCAUGCCCAUUUUAUGAGCAGAUGUGUUAUUGUAGUUGUACACAAUGCAGUCUUUUGGGAAAGAAAUAGAACGGUCAUCCUUUUACUUGGAAUAGAGCAGAAAAAUCCACUCCCACCAUAUAACAAACGUGGGCUUUAUGUGGGUGUAAGGAAGCACUCAAGGAGGGAUGUCUCUCUUGGGUGGCCUGUGCACAGUGGCACAGAGAUACCUCAUUUUGGAAACAGCAGUGAGCUGUCCUUGCUUCCUUAAGAGCAGAAAUCUCACUGCUGGCUGUAAAGAGGAGCUCAGAGAAAACAAUGGCAGGUGGCAUCUGAGGGGCUGCAAAUUUAAAAGCCAUCCAUAAAGCACUGUGCUUUGCAAAGUGAUAAAACUUCUGCACUUCCAGGGUUGUGAGAUGCAUACCAGUCAUGGGGCAAACUCUGUCCUUAGCGAUUUAGCUGCACGUCUGAUGGAGGUGUUGUAUCAUAAACACCAGUCUCCUCCUCUCCAGUAAUUCAGUGUUUGAUUGACUUUAAGUCAGUUGGAGAUCAUGAUUUCCAUGGUGAUAUCAGGGCCUGAUGGUGGAGAAUGGGAAUGUCUUCAUUACUAAUGCAUACUAAAAAUUAUACGCGUACAUGACUGUUUAAUGUAUAAUACUUUGUAACAGGAAAGGAAAAUAUGUGUGAGUUACCCAUUAAAUUGAACAAUUAGUUAAUUAACUGCAAAUUUCAAUCUGUUGACAUUUUCAGACUUCAAUGUUGCUAGUAGGACUUCUUCCUCAGGCCCAUUUACCUUCCGUACAAAAGAUCAGCUUCCCUCCUUUUCUCACAGCAUGGCAAUUACAGAGUGUAAGUGAAAAAGCUGUUAAGUCUGAGGCAUUUCAGGCUUGGAGGCAGCAGCCGUACUUUGGAGCUACACACAAACAUAAUUUGAAGAAUAACAAGCUCCAUGAAAUGUUUUACACCAAUUAACUCAACAACACCAUUGUUUUGUUACUUGGUAUCUAAUCAACCUACACAUCUUCCCACUGGGGGGGAAAUCCAGUCUGUUUUGCAUUGCCCUUUGCAUUACGUACACAACUCUGCUGCUGCUCUGGGCCCGGAGGGGGGGGGUGGAGGGAGGGAGGAGGAUGGGGAAUCUAGGGAUUCCUUAAAACACUUCAUUAUUUUUUUAAUUCUACACCACAGCACAUCAAAAUUAAGAUGAAAAGCCCUGCAUCUUAUAUUACUCAAUGAGCAUUACAGAAACUGUCAUAAUUGUGUGGGCUUUUUUAAAUGACUUCUUCUUGUAAAAUACCUUUGGUAGUGCAAGAUCAAAGCAUAACAGAGGUGUCUGCUGCAGGAUGAUAAUUCAGGUAAACACAGUCAAUGGUGCAAAUGCAAAUGUGAUCGACGUUUCUAUUUAAUGUUUAUUUUCCCUGCCAAGGCAGUGACAAGCUCAAACUAAUUCCAUACCUGCUUUAAAAUAAAUCAAAACUACCAUAUAUCAACCUGUUUCUGUUGAACUUAGCCCAGAUAUCAAAUGGUGAAACACAGAUCGAAGUUUCAUCUGGUCAGCCUCUGGACAGAUCCAGGAACAUGAGGGAGAGCUCAAAAGAAACUAGCCCAGCUAUAAAUAUUUCCAAAUUAAUUAUGUCAUUAAUUACGCCUGUAUGAGAGCAUACCAUGUGACAGCAGCUCUGAUUUCUGCACCUACAGUGUGUCCUAUAACUGCAACCCGGCCUCAGGAUUAAACUUUCUAAAUCAGUGAAAUGUCUUGCCUGGGAAUUCUAAGUUUAAGAAAAUAAAAGAAGAUGAUGGAGAAGAGGCAGAAGGGGAAGAGGAAGAAGGAGAAGCAGCAGCAACAGGGAUGCAGUCCUACAAGCAGAAAGCUCUCUCUAUAUGGCAUGUGGUACUCAGAGGCUGUAGGGAGGAUCAGGGCUGGCUCUUGUAGCAUAUGCACAAAGAUGAGAAUGUUCCCUGCCUCUGCAAAACUGACUGUCUAAAGCAGUAAGUGCCACUGGUUAAAAAGGGGCAGGGAACAGCAAGAACAACAUCCAUGACACCUUGCAGUUCCAUUGGCCAAUUUCACAGUUCUUCACUAUACUUUUAUUCCCCUUUCUACUAUGAAUUCAAUGCUCCUGCUGAGUAUCUCCUUUCUGGGAGAUUCUUGAGUCCUCCCAAAGGUUUUAUUUUAUUUCUGAGGAGAGAUAAGUGAAUCCGGAGUUCCAAAUGGAUCUGCCUUAGGCCAAACACUCUAAAUCUGAGUGAGCCCACUGCAGCCCGUAAGCAUAUUGGAUGGGUGCAGUGUCUUCUUCCAUGCAGUCUUGCACAGAGUAACUAGAGAUAAAAGCAGCAACAGUGGUGCAAUUACCAUUAAUCAUGAUAGUCCUGCCUACUCAGGCUUUGUGGAAGACUGUCAUCACAAGGUUAAAGCUUCUCCUGCAGAGAGCUUCUUGAAGUUUGCUGUAUUUACCUGUCCCCUCUUCUGUGUACCUGCUCCACAGAAAUGUUAUUAGCCAAAACAGGGAUCUCUCUGAAUGAGCACACAAUAGCACAGAGAAAGGCCAAACAGUCUAACUCAAGCAUUUUUAGCAAAUAGACAAAAAUAUGAGUGUAAUAGCAUACAUGGGUUGCUCCAAAAGUAAUGCCUCCUAUGUACGUAAGUGGAAACUACAAUAGAUACAAAGAGCACAGUAACACCAUUUGAUCAAGAAAAUUCACAGCUGCAAAACUCUUUUUUUUUUUUUUUUUCCAACACAGUCAAUGCUAUGUAUUUUUUGCCGGUGAUGAACAAGAAGCUUCAUGCCACGCUCAUAAUGAUCUGCGUUAGUGGAGGCAACCCUCUGUCACUGCGGCCAUUGCUGAAACGCAGCACCCACCACCUCAGUGUGCUCAUAUCCACUGUUUGGUCUCCAUAAAUGGUCAGCAAGUGUCCAUUUUUUUCCGCAGGAGGGAAUCCAGUGAUACACCUUCGCUCCAUACACACUUCUGUAUCAGACGCCAUUUUAUCAGAUUGCCCCUCUGCUGCCAUCUGUCACAUGGAAACAAUGUUUAAUGGAAUAUUUAUUGCUGUGAAUGUUCAACUUCUACUGUCUUAUUGCCUCUGCCAACAUGGGCCAAUACAGUCUGCUAGGAGGCACUGCUUUCAGAGAAGCCCUUGCAGAUAGAGAGGCUAUAUUACACUCCCUCUGUGAGAAAUUGAGUCACAGAGACAGAGCUGCAGACAGCCAGACAGACAUUGCAAGCCUGUGCUGCAGCAGCCCUGCUCACAAGAAGAAGCACCUAUUCACAGAGAGCAUAGCAGUGGUGCCCAGGCACAGACUGGCGUCUGACACCAAGGAUGCUGGGCAGAUGUGUUAUUCCAGCUUCUCCACUGAACCAUCACUCGGGUUGCAACUAUUACAAUAAUGGUGGUGGUGGUGGUGGUGGGCAUUGCAUGGGUUUCCUCUCCAGUUUCAGUCGAAUUGGAGCUUUCUGUCUGCUUGAGUAGUUGCUGAAGUAUGGUGUGCAAAUCACAUAUUUUUGGAAAAUGCACCAUCUGUGCACUUGAAAUUGCAGCUUCUCUAAAUUUUCAGUAAAACUUAAAAAUGAAAACCAUGGAGAAGACUCUAUCUGAGUGCAAAUUAUUGAGCUUGAGAGGGGUUGUUAUCUGAAGGAAGGAUAUCUUCCACUCCUUAAAUGAGAGGGAAACCAUCGCUUCCUUAACAUAUUCAGUGGACCCCAGCAAGGCUAGAAAAUCACUUUUGUUUUCUAUUUUUUUACAAUCUGUUUAUCUCCAUCAGGUAUUUUCCAAUGAUUAUAUUCAGUGCCGAUGUGAAUACGUAAAUGUUCAGGCAAAUGUAAGAGAAGACAGACUUGUAUCUGUGAAAGACAAACGCUCCUCCAACUCUGAAGACACCCUGAAGUUCAAUCACAUCUCAGACAACUCUGUUUUUGUGUCAAACUUUAUGCAUUUUUUAAAAUCAUCCUCAAUAUGUAUAUAAGGCCUUUUUUGCAGUUGUCUGAGACACUUCUGUGCAUGUCCCACACUGUCCCCAAAACCCAUGGUGGCUGGGCCACUUUUUAAGGGGUUGGACUUGGCAAAUCUCACCCCAGUGAUGUUCAAACGGUUCAGGGCUGGGGCAUGAGCAUCUCACCCAUGGGCUCAGUCUGAGUGUCUGCCUGGUCCUGUGGGCUUAAUAGUUUGAUGAAGUAAUGAUUAUUCCUUAUCACAUAUAACUGAGAAACUUUUUUUUUUUACAUUUUUUUCACAAUAAAUUGCAAAAUAAAAAGUGGAAAAGCACAUUUGAAUUGUGUGUGUAUGUGUGCAAAACAUCCUUCUCACUCCCAUGAAAUCAGAGUAGUACUAUCAUUUGCACGCAACGUACUUAGGAAAUUUGACAGCUACAAUUAUUUCUGACUAACUGACUGUCACUGAAUUUUCUCUUUUAUUUUGGAUAUAUGCAUAUUCAAAUAUUCACUAUUAAUUCCUGUUAAUGAGUGUAUUCCAUACGUAACACUAACAAGACUUAAACGCCAUCACAGGCACAAAUGGGGAAAUAUCCCUUUGCAGAGAAGACUGCAGACAACACACUGUGUGCAGUGACCAUUUAUUAAACAGGGAAUUCCUAAGCGAAUCUUUAACAUCCACCUAUAACAGAAUGGUCCUUGGUUUCCAGGCUGCAGGAUUUGCCAUUGCACGUGGAUAAAAAAUUCUUCAGGAUUUUUUAGUAAAAAUCUGUGUUCCUUUCAUCAUAGGGGGGAAAAGCAGGUGAUUUCAGCACAUGGGCUCCAAACAAAAAUUAAAUCCUACUUCCAAGUAAGAAAAUUGAUAAAUGACAUUACUUUCUUAAAUAAACAUAGCCAAAAUUGGGGGUUUUAUCUUAAGGAAAUGGAAAGAGACAGAGAGAAUGAGUUAUUUCGUGUAAGAAAUCAGAACAUGAUGUGGAAAACAAGAAAAUAAACCUAAAUGGUGCUGUAUUCCCCAAAGAAAAGCCUUUGGUAAUACUGUGUCAUCAGCAGAGAGCUCACAAACAUGUAAAUCAUUUUAUCUAUAAAUAACCAAAGAUUGCAAGGAACUGAUUUAAAUUGUUUUCUUCUCACUUAAACAAACAGACUGAUUGGAAAAACAGAGUUAGGACAGACUUGGGAUUCAGCCUGGUUAAAUAAAAAUAAAAAACAAAAAAACCAACCAAACAUUAUCAGUGCUGAUUUGAAAGGAUUAUUUGAUGAGUCAGAACGAGGAGGGCACUGCUGCUGGGUAGUGGGGAGCCAAGCGGGCUCCCAGCCAGGCAAGGAGGGGAUAUACUCUUCCACCUUAGGCAAGGGGCCUUCAUUGUGUUUGUGUAUUUACACAUUGCUGUGGUGGUGAGCAAGCUCUGGACAGCAUCAGUGGUAUCAUGACUCAAAUAUCAAUGGAUUGAUAUCAUGCAGCUCCUUCUCAUGCUCCUUUGGGAGGUGUCCUUGUUCACAGGGCAUUGGAUCUGUAUGGGCUUUGAUGUCUUUCCCAGCUCAAAGCAUUCCUUUGUCCACAGGCCAGGAAUACUACAUGUAGCCAUGUGAAGGUAUUUUUUUACACCUUCUGGUGUAAACCUUCUGGUGUUUGGGCUUUUCUCACCACAUGACAUUCUCAGUUGUAAAACCCUCACAUCUGAACCUCCAUGCUACAUUACAACUAUGCCCAUCAGCUUAAGCACUGUCAUUCCGUAGAGCAAAUCUGCAAGCUUUGGGUGUGCUCCAAGAGUGGGUGGUAUACAUAAGGGCAGAAGGACCACAGGAAGUCUGCAGUCAAGCAUGCCUAUGAGAAGCCCACUAGUACCAUGUCUCAUCGUGACCAGAAAAAGGAAAUUAUAUAUAUAUUUUCCAGAGAGAUUCCUAUUUAAAAAUAAGCAAAAUAAUAAGUAGGAGGAUCACGGAGUUCAGAACAGCGGAAAAUGAACCAUUAUUGUGACGGGCAGCAGGCAUCUUGCCAGGCCCAAACAAAGUGUCUCAGGGAGCACUGCCCGCAGUAUGCCCUGCUCAGAUGAUGGAUGUGCAGACACAGGAACAUUCCACAGAUUUUUUCAUAGACUGUGCAUGGUGCAUUUCCUGAAACUUCGUCAUUGCAGUAGAUCACGAGGAUCUUUUCCUUCGUUUCUAAAUUUUCUUAGCCAUUUCUGCAUCGGAUGACUUUGCGGUGUUAGUGCCAAAAAGUCACCUGUUACACAGUGAUGAGGUGCAUGGUAAUGCAAGUUGUGCAGCAGUUUAUUUCCUGUAGGCUUCUGAUGUUUCUUCCUUUACAGAAGAGACAGCCCGAAGUCCUGAAGGUCUUCAGGAGGAGCUGAACCCGGAACAGCACCAUCUUCAGUAGGGGAGAACUCGAGCAGUCUGUGCCACUAAUUGCAGUGUAAACAUUUAAUAAAUAUUCCUUCUUUUCGUCCCUUGCCCUUUUCAAAAAUGAAAGGUUGUAAUUUACAUGUGCUAUAGCUCCUAAUUGCCGCUUCACAAUACCUGCUUGUUUUGUUUGUAUUCUUCCUCCUCUGCGGAGGAGGUGGUGCAGAUGAAAAGGCAGCAGCAUUUCUGCCCUCAUCUCCAUCCCUACUACAAAAC